rnacentral:lncRNA from 1 species
GUUGCCAUGGCAAUAAUCUGUAAUUGUGCAGAAAAUCCACAGAACUCACAAGCAACUCCUUAGUGGAUUGGGCUGAAAGAAAAUCAAACCCGUGAAAGCCCUGAAUUGAUGUGGUUAUGAGAGUGCGUUGGCCAAGCUGGUCCAGUUUAAGCUGACCUGAUUUUGCGGAUUUCCUUCCCCUGGCCCCUAUCUAGCUAUGGUGAACUCCCUCUUUAUGUAUAUUUUUCGCACUUUUAUGUUCCUAGCCGGUGAGAGGCAUAAAUCCUACUCAGCUAGGGAAAUGCUUCAGCUCAUUGCUUAGAAUUCUGAGUGCACAGUUUGGGAUCUAUAGGGUGGGAAUUAUGGCUGCCAGAGCUUCUAGACCUUGGACUAGCACUGAAGAUGGAGGCCUGAUUUGUCCAUAAAGGUGAAAAACAUUGAGUGUCCACAAGGCCAGGUGGAUAUUUCCCCCCAACAGGGACACAGUGGGGAGGAGAUUAGUGCAGCAAGGAUGUGUUUUUCCUGGGGUAGCUUGGCAACCGAGUACACACACAUGUACAACACACCCAUCUGAAGACGUGCCAAGACUCGCCUUCUUUAAGGCAAGCUAAUACAAACCAUGCCCAAAACAUGGCCAGGAAACAGAAGGUAGGUAGCAUGUCUCCUUUCUGCACUAGAUGCUGUAUGACGUUUAUGUAUGUAUCAGCCGUCAACCCCAAAUAUUUGAGGGCAUGAGUGAGUGUGGGGGCCCCUGUCAGAAAAUUGAGCAGGAAGAGGGGCCAGACAAAUCACUCUCAUGUUCCAAACUUCAGUGAGAAUCCCAUGGGAACGCAGCUUCCAAGUAGAUCCCAUGAGAACAUCUGGGAUGAGGAUACUCACGCCAGGCCCUAAACCCAGACUCGUUAGUAAUAAUGCCUCAUUUUUUCUCAUGUAUUUAUUUAUCCUCUCAUAUACUGUGAGUAUGAUUUACGUUCCUUCUACAACUUUUCCUAGUGGGAGCCAGGAAAGCAAGGUGGAGAAUGAACACCAAGCUGUCUAUUAGGAGGCUUUCUCUUGGAUACCCUCUCAUUUGAGGUUACUCAAUUGCAGGCAACAGAAACUCAGUUUGCUUAAUUUAAGCAGAAAGGAACGUAUCAUAGGAGAGUGGAGGGCUCAUGGAUUUUGGGAAAGGCUUGAGAAUCAAAAUAGGAAACAGGAACCUAACAGCUUAGGAUUCUAAGUAGCAACAACAACAAAAUGAGCAGUUUGAUCAUAGUUUGUCCCUAGAAUUCUUAGCUUCAACUGCUUUACUCUUCUGUCAUUUUCUCGAGAUUCAAAAUCUUGGGAAAAAGAGUCUGAAUUGCCUAAUUGGAAUCAGAAACCCAGUUCUCUCUCUUGGAACAGACAUGAGAGGGAAAGAAGGGAAAGUGUAGCUCUUAACUUAGAGUCUCAUCAAGAUUCCAUAGAGUGGGAGAGAGAUACUUUCUCAAAACAAAUCCUAAAGUGCACUCAGGAAGGGAGGAGAUUGAGGAUUGUGAUAGUUGAGGUGUUGGCUUGGAAGAGAGAGUCAAUGACUAAUGUUCAGCAUUGUAGCCUGGAGGGAACGUUGAAUAGUGGAAGUGUCGAUCAACUGACAUACAUCCAUAUGCCUGAGCAGAGAUUUGCUAAGUAAAAUUGGAACAGAAAGGUUAGGUAGAUGGGGAGUGAGUGAAGAAGAAUCUAGAAAAUAUUUUGUUUGGCAUCUGAAAGAAUUUAGAAAAAAGGUUGUUAAAAACAACCUGAUUUGACACCAGCCAUGCUAAUGGGGUAGACUUCCUGCUAGUCAGAGCUCCCGGUUAAUGUCCACUUCUCAGCGUGUCUGAUUACGGGUUGAAGUUGACCGAUCAGCAAACUACUCAAUUAUAAGCCCAUCUUCUCCCUGUGGUGCCACUAAUUAAAACAGGAACCAUGUUGCAGCUCACACUCUCCAUGCAGUUCCACCUUCCAAAAGCUGAAUCAGUCACUACAAUUAGCUGUUGUCAGUGGAAUCAGCCUGCCUUUCCCUUUUUCCGAUCCCGUUCCUGUUUGGAGUGAAUUCAUCUCUGAAAAACCUUCCCUUGGGGUGAUUGGUCUCCCCCCAUACCCUCAGCUGUGAGAAAGGAACACAUGUGGCGGGAGCUUUGAAAUGCAACCUCAAGAUGCAGCUAUGUGGAAAUCUCAGUGUUCUGGAAUGCUCUGACCUUUUGUCCUGCCAAGUGCCAUUCUUUUUUUCUGCAAUCAUGUCAUGAAGGGUAUUCCUACAUGAAUUUAAUUUUUAAGAGGAGAGGAAGAAGAAAAAAUACAUGGCUCAGUAUGGAUCCAUUUGCAGGAAAGUUGUUCUUCAGGCAGCUGGGACAAAGAGCAGCAUUUUUUUUAUUAUUAUUAUUUUUCUGUCUUGAUGAACAUAAUGGACCACUUGGGUAAUUUCAGCUGUAAAUGUACUUCUCUAUAACGGGAUGAUGCUUCCAUGUGUAAGAGUGGAGAGAGAAAAGAUGUUGAGAAGCACCAUGGUGACAGGCUAGCAGAACAGGGGCUUGCUCCAUGACUACUGAGCAUAUCCUAAACUCUCUUGAAUGCCAAGUCCAUGGCUUCCCAACCAGAGAGAGGAACUUUUGUGAACUUCUCAAGGUCCAGUUCAAAUCUCCAUUAGUAUUAAAAUCAAUACCCCUGGCCGGAAACAAGAUGACAUUUCUGGCAUCCUUCCAGAGAGACUGCCAAUUAGCCUCCAGCAGAAAGGUCUCGGCCGGCACUCCUCUUAAUGUCCCUUUUCCCUUGAAGAGGCAACUUUAGGUGCCUUUGUCUUUUAGUACAAACUUUUCCAUUCAGUGUUUGAUGACUCUGAUGUUUUCUCCCCAAAAUAAACUUCUAAGUUUCUCUAUCAAAAAUUUUUCUUCUCAAAACAACUGUGCACAUUGAAAAGUUUCUAAGAACAUCCCCGCACUCAAUUGUAGAGGGGCAGACCAAUCUCAGGGUCACUGCACAGAUACAGUAUCAUAAAUGAGAAUAGAAUGUAGCUAAAUGUUUCGUAUAAAGCAAUGAUUAAGUGCCUUGACUCUGGGGUUAAAAAGAUUUUCAUUUCAAUUCUGAAAUCACUAAUUAAUUCAUCUCUGGGUGUCAGUUUCCAAAUCCAUAAAAUGAAAAGUAUAAUAAUGCCUACCUCAUAUGGUUAUUGGGAGGGUUCAUUGAAAUGAGGGUUAAAGUACUGGGCAUAGUAUUUGUCACAUAGAAAGUGCUCAAUAAAUGGUGAGAGUUAUUACUGAAUAAUUUGCACCUUGGACAGAAUUCCCAAGCAGGUGACCGGUUAAAGUGGGCAAGGAGGAAGGAGUGUCUAGAGCUCUGGAACCCUUAUGAUAUGCUCAUCAUGCAUUAGCAUAGGACUUCUGAUGGUCUGUGUGUCUUCAUAUUACCCAGAUCUCUUUGUCACUUUGUUUCUACCACUUACAUUUUGAUAUAAUCAUGCCUUCAGUCCUGAAUCUCCUACCUUGGGGAAGAUGUCCACAAUGGGAUAUGGGGAGCUGCAGAUGACUCAAAACCUCAUUUAUUUAUCAAUGUUCUUUAUCCUAUGUGACUUCAAGUUACUAGUCAGAUGACAAAAAUGGAGCAGGAAACACAGACACACACAUACACACAUUAAACCAGAGUCAUCCUGUUCCACAGACACAUGUUCUCAAAGCUAAACACUCAGUGACUAUCCACGUAUCUGUUGAUGGAACAUCUUGGAAAUGGAGAUCGUUUUGUAUAUUCCACAUUUGAGAUUGAUUUAGGUUGGGAUGACAAACUGAUAUCAGCCAAAGUUCAAGUCAGCUCAGAGAUGGAGAAAUGGGGUCCACAAAUGGCCAGUUUCCUCUAACCCAGUGCCUCUCUGACCGUUCACACUCUAAGCAGGGGACAGGGCCUAUGCUAACAAGGAGUUUUCAAGGGAGGACAGAGUAAUAUUAGGGAGAUGGUGGGUGGGGUUCAGGAAAUAGCAUGACUAGCUCUUACACAGGCUCAGGUUGCUCACUGUCAUAUACAAUAAAUCUGCUGAAAAUGUUAAGGCAAUUAAAUAAAAUAAAGAGAAUACAAAUGUGGAAAAAAGCAAUUGUAAUUGGAUAUUCCAGAACUUGAGACCCAGGCAUAAUGUUUUUAUAAUAGUGUAUAUAAGACAGUGUUCUAUUCAAUAACAUAACAAGGAUUAUGUAAUUGAACAACAUUAUUUCAAAAUAUUUUCUGGGUUGGAUCUUAUGUCCCAGCAUCUCAAAUACACACAGUUCUAGUUAUGGGAAUCUGCAGUAUUAGGACAAUGAGCUCCAGCCCACAGAACAUCUGGUUUCAACCACUGUUCCCAAUCUCUUGUUUUUAUAAGCAAUAAAUUGGGAGAGCCAGGUUUGCAUGCUUGGGUGAUUUGAUUCACUUGAUGCACAGAUAAUUUUGGCCACUUGUUAUAGCUAGUAGUCAUAGGUACCUGACUUCAAUCCCUAAAAGUAAAAAUGGUUAUAGUCUUUCCAGUUAGUCAUUUAAGGAUAUUUUAGGUCCCUGUUACCUACAUAAUACUUCAUGAUGGGUCAUGAUUAAGUCAUUUACAAAAAUAUUUAUUGAGAACCAAUGAUGACACAAGUUCCCUGCUCUCACAAACUUACAAUCCAGCAGGGGAGACAGACAUUAGAUAAAUCAACACCUAGAUGAUUAUUUGAUUACAGUUGUGAAGAAUGAUUCAGAGGAGAAGGAUGAGGUGCCAUAAGGAUGGAUGCUCACUUGGUCUGGAGGUCAGCAAGACUUCUCUGAUAAAAACAACACUUAAGACAUCUAAAUCAAUGGCUGUGUUGGUCAAGGGAAAGGGGAAGAGGUAGGAGAGGAGAAGUGCAGUCUAGAGUUGCAAAAGCCUAGAGGCAGAAGGGAUAAGAUAUAUUGAGGAACUAGAGGAAGGCCAAUAUGGCGGGAGUAUGAGAGUUACAGGGGAGCUUGGCAGGAGAUGAGACGGAGGAGGUAGGCAGGGCCCAUGCUGAGGACAACAAUCUUAUUUGCAAAGGUACCAUCUAAUAGAGAAGCAGCUGCUUCUCCAAAGUAAAUUUUGUUGAUUAGGCUCUCAAAAAAUAUUUAUCUAAUGUAUAAUUACUCCUUGCAAUUUGUUCCCACCACUGGUGAAAGGAAAAAGAAACAAUUCAAUAUCAAUCCUACUCAUUGUGGGUCGGUACAAAGCACAACACAUUUCUGUUACCAAUGUUUCCUGAAUUUCUGCCAUUCAUGGGUUAGUCAGGAUUCUCCAAAGGGACAGUGCAUAUAUCUAGGACUUAAGAAAAAUUAGGGGUGAAUAUGGAGACUAGGAAGUCCCAGCAUCUACAGUUGCCAAGCUGGAGAGGCAGGAGAGGCAGUGUGUGGGUCCAGUCCCAGUCCGAAGCCUGACAACCAAGAUUACCAACAUGUAAGUUCGAGUCUGAAAGCUGGCAGGCUCGAGACCCAGGAAGAGUUGAUGACUCAGUCUGAGUCUAAAGGCCAGAAAAAGCCUAUGUCUAGCUCAACAGUCACACUGGAGGAGUUCCCUCUUACUUUCAUUCUCUUUAGGCCUUCAGUUGACUAGACGAGACCCGCCCACAUUUGGGAAAGAAAUCUUACUAAGUCCACCAAUUCAGAUGUUAAUCUAAUCCAGAAACAUCCUCAUGGACACAACCACAAUAAUGCUUAACCAACUGUGUGGGUACCUUGUGGCCCAGCAAGUUGACAGGUAAAAUUCACUGUCACACAACCCUAAUGAUUUUUGUCACAUUCAUGUGACACCCAUAUCCUAGUUUAUAGAAUAUUUUUGUUUAAACAAAAUCCUCUUUUUCUUAAACACAUUUAUUUGUAAAUGGAAUUUUAAGUCACCACUGUAAAUGCCAUGUCAAUAUUACCUUGACAAUAUUACCUUGUCAAUAUUACACAAAAAUAGAGUUGUAUCAAAACAGUAUUAUUAUGUACUCGAAAAUCAUCGUGGUCUACUGGAGUUCUUAGCCUGUGGUCUCCUCUCCAUUAUAUAAAAAGAGAGAUUAGAAAGAGAUGGAAUAAAAGAGAUGUGUAAACACAAAACUGAGACUUUUCCCCCCUACUCCGUUAGUUGGUUUCAAAGAGAAUUGAAAAGGAAGCAAUUUUCUCACUGAGUAAUACAGUGUAAGUAAUGUCAUGUCAGAGUGCCACAUAAAAACAUCCACAAACCACUGGUGGCACGUGGCCCACAUUUUGGGAAACAAAGUUAUUUCCUAGAUAAAUGUAAGCCAAAAGUGUACAGUCUCAAUUCAUUGAAGGAAGGCAGGCCAAUCCUUGCCAUGGCAGUGAAUGUGUCCUCUGCUUUUUGGAAAUGAAAUAGACACUUUGAUAAGUUAGGAAGUUUUUUUAUGGAUAAAAAUCUCAGAGAUGCUUUAUAUGGACCAGGUCUCGGUGCAGGUGGACCUUGAGACUAAAGGGAUCGGCCAGAGGAAGUCACCUCAGACAGGACCUUGCCAUGGAGUCAGGCCAACCAAGGGUCAUGGAGAGGGGGUGGAUGGGGUGUUGGGUGACCACUAAUAGAGGUCAAGUGAAGCCUGACAAGCAGCCACAGAAGACUCUUAAUGCAUAUUCCGUAAGCAGAAGCUCUUAAAAUUGUUGAUGCUGAUGUUAUCAUUUUAAGUAAAGGUGCCAGCCUGUUACUGGCAUCAGCAGAGUCAAAAUGUUGGCAACAGAGACUGGGAAUCAAGGACACCAUCUCUGACCUGAUGAGAACUCAUGAGAGCCAAGGAAGAUCCAGGUUUCAGAGGGAAUGGCCUAUUAGGCUGUUAUUCAGUCAGAGCCUAAGGCAUUAAGGGAAUGAACAGGAAGAGUCAAUCAUCAAAACUAGGCAUUUGGCCCCCAUGAGGAAGGAGUUCUACAGCCCUUGAAGGUCAGUGCAGAGGAGAGGCUGACCAGGUGUUAGUUUCUACAAAUACAACAUAGCUAGCCUUGGCCAACAGUUCCCAAAGUGCAGUCCCCCGAUCACCAGCAGCAGUAUCAACUGGGAACUUGUUAGAGAAGCUUAUUCUCUGACCCCACCUCCUACUGCAUGUGCCAGAAACUCUGGGGUGGGGCUCAGCAAUCUGUGUUGAAUACGUCUUCUAGAUGAUUCUGGUACAUGCUACAGUUUGAGAACGACUGGUCCAGGGGAACGAGGUGAGUCUAAGUGUGCACAGCUAGAGGACAACAGGGUUGCCUUCCUGGCAGGGACACACGGGUGUCUCUGCUCAGGACACCAGUCAGGACACUGUCCAGCUUCUGUUCUGACCUCUCUUCAGUUGGUAGUGGCUUCUCACACUUCAGCAGUCACUUUGUCUGGCCCGCUCCUCUCUUCGUGCACACAAAUAAGCCUCACAGUUGCAACAGGUAAUUAGAAGGCUCUCUCAUUAAAUCAUUGUUAGCAUUUAUCCUUUUUUUCUCUCUCUUUUAGGUAGAGACUUCUGGGGGAAUUUCUCCUAGUUUAUAUGAUGUGGUAGAUAAUUUUAUGAACAUCUCCUAGGGUUCUUUUGUUUGUUUGGUUUGGUUUUAAAGCUAGGGCCCCUCUGUACUACCCCAUUGCCUAAUGAGGCACUCAACUCUUGCCUGACGUUGGAAAAAAAGCCUGCAGCUUCUCUCUCCCCAACAUUCAUGCAGAUGUGGAUUCGUUCUGGGAAAAAGGGUGAUUUUGCAACAGAGGAACAAAGACCUUGGCAAAGGGAGGCAGCACAGGAAGCAGCAGGAGAGGAGUCGUGGCCGAAGCACAGUCUAUGGAUCCAGACAGACCUGGGUUUUCUUGACUUUGCUAAAUGUUAGCUGUUCAGCCCAGGGAAGUCACGUGAGCUCUCUGUGCCUCAGUUUACUCAUAGUAAUAUAACAAUUUCAUAAAGUUAUUGGGAGGGUCCAAAAAGACAGUGUGUGCAUAUGAAAUGCCAAACUUACAUUAGUUGCUCAAUAUAGAGAUGUCAUAAAUUUGUGUUAUUCUCUAAUUCUUUCCCAAGUCUCUUGGGAUCCACAGAAGGGUAGUUUACUGGGCACGAUCUGACAGAUAAUAGCCAAUACUUACUGAAUUCUUAUCAGUUAGAUGAUUUUACUGCAUGUAACCAAAGUCUGACUCAAAGUGGUGUAAUGACAAGAAAUUAUUACAUCAUAUAACAGGAAAUCCAAAGAAAGGAGGGGUUGGAUGAUGCAAUCAGAGCUCCAGCCCUCAUGUUCUUGGUUGUACCUACUCUGUAUCUCGGCUUUCUGAGACUGGCCUCCUUUGUGGUCACAAGAUGACUGCAAUAGCUGACGUUUAGGGGCUUCCCUACUCACAUCCAGCAAGGGAGGGAAAAAUGUCUUUUCUGACCAGUCUUAUUGGACCAACAUGGGUCAUAUGCUUUUCCUUCGAAUAAAGACAUGCACUGAUUGGCUAUGUUUCAGAAGUCUGGGGCUCUGAUCCAAUUGCUGGCGUCCAGUUAUAAUGAUUAGUCAAACCAGAACCCUGUCUGAAACUUGGGGGAUAGUACCAGCUUCCCUUAAGGUUCUUGCGCCGAGUUUUGAAAAAAGGAUGAAUAGCUAGAAAUAAAGAAAAGGAGAGCCAGAUAUGUUCACUACGCUCUUCUACAUCCCAGGGACUGUGCCAAACAUUUUAUAUUUAUUCUUAUUUCAUCUUCACAACCACCCUAUGAAGUUACUCUUUUCACAGUUGAGGAAGAAGAAACUCACAGAGGUUAAAAUCACUUGCUUGAUAUCACUGGCAAGGUUGACAGACCAGAAUGCAGGCUCUGGCCUGAGUGCCCCCAGAGCCAUGUUCUUCACCUUUGUAUUGCCUAGUUGGCUGGCCUCUUUGGCAUGGGAGCAAUACUUUAGCCUCACAGUGCAGGGUCCAGGGAUCCUGGCACUGGCCCAGUGAGGUGGACUCGUUUUUACCCCAUGCAGAGGAGUGAUGGGAACACUCUGCAAAGAACUUGAGCUCAGCUCUCAGGUUUCCACAGUUAUUUGUCUGUUGUUACCAAACACUAAAGACUUUAAAAAUGUACUGUGGUCAUAUAGGCAGGAAAAAUGACCUCAUGCUUGCAACCACAAAUCCAAAAUGCUCUGGAAUCUGUAAGACGAACUGCAUUUUAAUUAGAAGAGAGAAAGAGCAAUGAAGACGUUUCUUGGAUAUUUUUUCAAACCCUCCCUUGGCUUGCCUUCAGGCCAAAAUGUGACAAGUGCCCUAAAUCUGAUAACAAACACACACUUCUGAAAUCAUUGUUAGCUUUCCUAAAAAGAAAAAAAAAAUCACAUUAGUUUCCUGUUACCAGUAACAGUUCAAGAAUGUGCAGCCUUGAAAUACAGCACAUGGGAACACAGGGAAUCAUCCUCCAUUAAAUAUUAAAAAGUAAAAGUGGAGUUCUCAGCCCAUUUUCCUCUUUGCUGAGAAGGGUUUUUUUUUUUUAUUACAUUAAGUCCUAAGAACCUUGAACCAGGCAAUACUAAAACGACUUGUACUUUAUCCCUAAAAUCUAGUCAAUGGUUAUUGUCCAUGUGUUAUUCUUAACCACUGGGUCAAACUUCCUAGCUGUUGAUGAAGUUUUCCCAACCAACUGCAGUGAAUGAUAACGCAAUAUCAGUGAGCUACUAUAUCCCAUGAUUUGUGUAUAGAAACUCUUGACCUUUGACACAGUAGCCUCUUAAUCAAAGGGUGAUUGCAGGGAAACAAGAGAACUUUUUACAUGUUAUAUGCUUACUAUAACAUACACACGUAUAACGUAUAAAGUUCCUGAGAACCUUGUAUGUAUUAUUUUAUUCAAUACUCUCAACAAACCAAUGUGAUCUUUUAUCCCAUUUUAUUGAUGAGCACAAUGGGAUCUAGAGAAGUUAAUUUACUAUGGUUGACAAACAAUAUGGAUUUGAACUGCAUGAGUUCACUUACAUGCGAAUAUUUUUUUCAAUAAAUACAGUGCAGUACUAUAAAUGUUUUCUCUUCCUUAUGAUUUUCUUAAUAAAAUGUUCUUUUCUCUAGCUAGCUUUAGAGUAAGAAUACAGUAUGCAAUACAUAUAACAUACAAACUACGUCUUAAUCAAGUAUUUCUGUUCAUGAUAAGGGUUCCGGUUCACAGUAUGCUGUUAGUAAAGUUUGGGGGGAAUCAAAAGUUAUACCCAGAUUUUUCUGACCUUGUGGGGGAUCAGCACGAUAACCCCAUAUUGUUCAAGGUCAACUGAAUAUGUAAGUUCAACUGAAAGUAAGAGAAUGUAUACCUGAGAAUGGUUAACUCAAGGAUUUGCAAACUCUUUCUGUAAAGAGCCAGAUAGUAAAUAUUUUAAACUCUGUAGGCUAUAAGAUGUCUGUCAGGAUUGACUAGCUCUGCCAUUAUAGGAUAAAUAUAUCUAUAGAUAAUAUGAAAACAAAGGUGUGGCUGUGUUCCAAUAAAACUUUAUAUAUAAAAGAAGGCAUUGGGCUAAAGUGGCUCUCAGAGUUUGCAGAAAACUGGCUUCAAGCAAUGCUUCUCAAACUAUCUGGGACAAACAACUAGUUCAUUUUUUUCCCUCUAAUUUCCAGUAUAUCAUGGAUUGAUACUUUUGUAAAAUGUGAUAAAAUGAAUUAACAGAAAAUGAAAUAAGAAGAUACUUAUGUUCAAAAUUCUUUUGCUUAGAUUCAAUAGACAUAAAAUUACUCCAUCAAACUGUUGCGAAAUUUAUAAAUGCUCCCAAAUUCUGCAUUUAGCAUGAAUCAGUAAUAAAUAGUCCAUAUUUGGACUAUUGGCACUAUUUUAUGAUUGACAUUUUGAGUAGCUGUGCUUUAAAGAUUAGGAUAUUUAUUAUCUCACCUAGCAAUAAAUCUAGAGACAAUCAGAGCCAACUGCCUAACCAUGUUCUCAAGGACCCAGGCUCUUUCUACCCCUCAGUGAUGUGAUGCUCAGCAUUGUCUCUCUUCUUUGUUCAAGAUGGUGACCACAGUCAUCACUGCAUUCUCACUUCCACUAUCUCUUUUAUUGGGCAAGGCAACCUUGCCCCAAGCAGCAGUCUAUUCCUGUGUUUCACUGGCUACGGAUAACAUGAAAUAACUACAUCAGUCUCUAGGAAAGAGUAAUAGGGAUUCCAUGGUUGGCUUAGUCCAAUUGUGAUUUGUCCCCUCAGGCUGGACCCAGAGCCACCUGACAAAAAUAGGACUUUUUAAACCAAGGAGGAUGCCAGCUCCAGGAAUGUGUUUAAGGAAACCUUGCUAUUUGUUUUAUCCUGGGCCUGCAGACCUGAUCUAUUUAACUUACAAACGGUGUUCCUUGUGCUCCAGUAGUCUGUUCCAGUGAGAGCAUUCUCCUUCUGCUCUGGUUCUGGCUUUAUGAUCUGUGUCCAAUUAAUCAUUUGUAGGAAGCUUUAAAAUUUAUAAUGUGCUUCCAUGUAUAUUAUAAAAUUUCAAUGUCCGUGCUUACGUGUUUGUAUGGAUGUUGUAUCAAAGGAUGGAAUUUAAGCCCACCAAUCAUGCUUGAGAUCAUACAGCAAGAAGAGGCAACAUCAGAGCUCUUGCCUAGGGCUUCUGACACUCUUCAGUGAGUUCUUCUCAAAGUAUUUGACCAUUUGUUCUGUGCUGAUCUGUCAGUAGAAUCAAAACCACAGCCGACUAAUCCAGGCAAAAAGUCACACAGACAAUUGUUAGUGUGAAUUCACUGGUUGUGUCAUAGAAAAGACCCAUUUUGGCCAUGUUGAUCUGGAUGGUCUUGUGUAGGGUGACCAACUGUCUUGAUUUACUUUGGACUGAGGGACUUGCCAAGAUGUGAGACUUUCAGUUUUAAAACCAAGAUAGCCACAGUUUUUCAUUUUAAAACAGAGGAAGUUCCAGGAAAACCAGGACAAUUUGGUCACCCUUGUUUCUGACCCCUGUCUUUGCCAUAUUAAAUUCAUAGGCCCCUAGUUUUCCUUGCAAAUCAAUAAACAAUGAAUCUAGUUUCGUCUUGUGAAUGACAUUCCCCCCACAAUUAAAAUAUCUAAAUUUGGAGAACCACAGAUACAUCUGAGAUAUUCUUUACUUCUUCCACAACGUCCAUGAUUUCCAUGGGAAUAUUUUGGAAAUAUUUUUCCUUGAUUGUGAAGAGAGACAUACAGGAAGACCUUGUCAACAUCUUUUCUGCUUCGUUUAUAUCUGCUACCAAGGCCAACACAGACACAUGGCAGAAGGCCCUAAAACCCACACAUUGAGCUGAAUGUAUUUAAAGGUGCUUCAACCUUCUCUCUGUUUAUCUACAACUUGGAAAUCAUGUUGUCCCACACAUUGUAUUAACUAUUCUGGUGGCUUAAAAAACAAAAUCAGUCUGAGCAGUUAAAGAGGCCUUAAUGAGAACCUUUACAGCUAUGAGGCUUGCUUUUGUCAUAUUACAGAAAGCAAGGCUGUGAUUUGUCACUAAUUUUCAUUAGAAAUUACCUAGGGCCCUUUAAAAAAUAAAAGUAAAUUAAAAAAUUCCCAAGCCCUACACUAUGCCUGUAUUGGAAGCUGAGAAUGGGUAGGAAAUGGGGGAUGGGUUUGGAGCCCAGGGACCUUUACCUUUCACAAAGUUCCUGAGGUAUUUCUGACAUGCUGCCAGCUUCAAAAACCUGGCUAGAAUAUGUCUUUCAACCUGUCUGACAACUAAAAUUGUAAUUAUUCUGUUAAAAGAAAACCUUAUGAAAUUGUAAAGUUGCUCAGUUUUUCCUUUCUUCCUUUCUUUCCCCUAAUCUUCCUUUCUUCUUCCUUUUCUUCCUUUUCUUCAAUGGUAGCAGUUUACAUGAAUGUUGGGAGCAAAUUUAGGAAAUGUUUGUGGAAUGACACUUAAAUAUCUUUGAAGUAAAUUUAAAUAUGCCUUCUAAAAAUUCAAGCUAUUUUCUACCUAAUGUCUGUAGGGAUAUGAAGCUUGAACAAAAGCUUGAAAGAAAUUGAUCUCCAGAUUUAUCCCUAGCAAGGGACAUCUCACACUGCCUUAUUCCUCCACUGUCAUCGUUCCUCGGGUCUUUUCCUUCUCGCGCCUUCAUUGUCCUCACCCACCUGAGACUGCAUGGGCAGAGAAGAUUUGAUUUACAUUGCUCAUUAGGCCACCAGUCUCUUGGCUGAGCCAGGCAACACGAAUGAAAAUUAGUGACAAAUCACAGCCUUACUUUCUGUAAUAUGACAAAAGCAAGCCCCAUAGCUGUAAAAGUUCUCAUUAGGGCCUCUUUAACUGCUCAGACUGAUUCUAUUUUUUAAGCCACCAGAAUAGUUAAUACAAUGUGUGGGACAACACGAUUUCCAUUGGGGCACAAUCAAAAAGGAAGCUACUUUCCGCACUUUGUUUAAUCUCUCUCCUUACAUCAACCUGAAGCAGUGCAGAGGUCCCCCUGGGAUUCCUGCUCAUCAGCCCUGCCUCCUACAAAAGGGAGAUUUUGCCUAGACAGCUCCAAAGAGUCCUGAUUCAAAGGUAGAACAAUUAGUACACAUUAAUCAUCACAAGGAUGGUACUAAAAGCAUAAUCCUCUUAGAACUGGAACAAAUUAAACUGAAAGUAGCAAUAUAAAAUCAAGCAAACACACACACACACACACACACACACACACACACACACACAAAUGCAAGGAAGAUGAGAGGACACUGCUCUGAAGUCCCAAAUCUCACUGCCAAAGGGGUCCCCAAGCAUCCACCAUCUUUGGUAUUCAUACAAAAGCUACCCUGCCUACUUCAGUUCCCUAUAAAAACCAAAAGCUCUCCAUGCAGGGGCCAUGUAACCAUCUCCUCACAAAUCUGGAUUUGUGAACACCUGGAAACUACAAUUAUAGUCUGAUACCUAAUGGGUUUUCUAAAGGUGGAAAGUUCCCCCAAAAUCCUGGAAUCAACCCACCAAAGACUUCUCCAAGAGGAGAGAAAAUUAUUCUUCUGUUUUGGAAAAGAAGGAUCUUUGCUCAGAUUUCUAAAUGAGGCCAGCCUUGGGCCAAAAUUUGAGUUAGACAAGGAAUGUCUGCUUCCUUCACACCCCUCUUUAUGGCUUUUCUUUUUUUCUCUCUUUUCUGAGCUUUCGCCCAUGAGAUGAGAACUGUCUGGGAAGAGAAGCCACAUACUACAAUAAGUAACAGUGCUUUCACACCCUGUAACAGCAGGAAGGCAUGUAGGGUAGGUCCACCAACAGGAAAGAUACAAAGAUAUUACUUAUAGUCAAUGACACAUACACUUGGAAUUCAGAGAAGGGUGCAAAAGUAACUUUUCUACUUUUUUCAAGUUGCCCUUCAUGGGCCCUUUGAUGUUUUCCUUUGUUCUCUCUCUAUCUCUCCAUCCUUUUUACACUCUCCCAGGUUCCCAACCAUGUCCCAGUACCCUUUGUCAUAGAGACAGUCCCAUUUCAGAUUAGUAUCUUUGUUCUUUGAGCCAACAAGCCUCAUUUGCUCUGGACCUUCAGAGUAUCCGAGUAACAACUGGUACCAAUAAACUCAUGAACUUUUCUCUCUUGCUUCCUCAUAGCACAAAUGAUGCAUUAUUAGAAGACCUCCUUCCCACCAAAAUUAAGAUAAGGCGAAUCAAAGGGAAUGAAAUGGACAGAGAACCCACCCAAGGUGUGUGGAACUGGGUGUUUUAUUUGCACAUUCAUAGAGAAUUAUCAAAAAGAGGGCAAUGCUUACAACAAGGGAUUAUUGGUGGACUUUCAUGACAGUGUGGGAACUAUUGAAGAUAGACGUCUCUUCCCAGAGUCUUUAUAUCCCUGCUUAUGAAGUUGGAACCUUUUCCAGAUAUAAUCAUAUUUUUUACCGUGAGAGGAACCCAAUUUACAAAUUCAAUUCCUUUAAUUUAUUUUGAAGCUCAUGCUAUUAACUAAAUGCUCAAGAGUUUAAAUUAUCUGUUUUUCUUCUCACCUUUGCCCACUUUCUUACUCUCGGGAUAUCACCCCUGGAGACAAAUAAUAUGAUGCUGGGAGGAAGGCCAAAUAGCCAUUGGCCUCAGUUGAGGCUCUGGCUUGCAAACUCCCCCAGAGUCCUCCUAUCUCAGUUCUGCGUGUCUGUAGGACAUACUAGGGAGGUGUUUGAUUUACCCGCCCGUGGCAGAGUUCAGGUCAUGUGAUUAUGAACUUUGUGCCAUUUCCAAAAUGGAAAAUAUUCAGUUUUUGAUGAGAUUAUUAGCUUUCCUCCUGUCCGGUUCCAACAAAUGAAAACCAGAUUUGCAUGUAUAAAUAACAAUCAAGCGCUGAAAUGAUUUAUUUAGUAAAGUUACUGUUUUGGAAACUAAAUCGAUGUGUCAUGUCAAGAUUCAAUCUGCCCUUCACUCACAUGGCAAAGGAGACUUCUCCGGGGUCUACUGGUAAAAAAAAAAAAGUUGGAAUCCUAUUAAUAGUUUACUCCUGCCACGUGAGAAUUACAGUGGAAUCCAGCUAUGAGAAUAAAAGCUCAAAAUAAUGUUUCCGAGAACAUCCUGAUAGUAGCGUGUGCUAUUUCUUAUUGUAUUCAAGACACACAUGAAUAACUCUCCCCCAGAAGAAAAGGAAACAAAGCAAAGGGCAACAUAUUUUCCCACUGUGUAAAUUUCCUUCCUCAAGUAGAAAUAGUUAAAAUUAGAAGGCAAAUCCUAUGGUCAUUACAUGUCAGAAUGCUGACAUGAUGACAACUUCAAAGGCGUGUCGGGCUACAUUUGGCGUGCUCUUUUUUAAAAAGACAAUAGGCAUUGAAAAUUAAGCACUGCAUCAAAGCCUCCCAACUCUAUUGAGACAAGUCUAUGGAAAACUCAAACCAAGAUGCAAGGCUGUUCCUGCGUAAAUUAUGUGGAGGGUUCGAUGCAUGGGAAUUGCAUUGUCUAAGAUGCUCUGGAGACAACAUACAACCCUGAUCUGAGUGGCAUGUCAGAGCUAAUGACUACAGCUAGUAUGGAACCAUCUGCAGCUAAUUUUACUCAUCCUCAUGGCAUUAAACUAAGACUUGUAAUUUGAAUCAACCCUAUAAAAGCUCAGACACCUCACUGUGAUGCCACUCAGUACACAGUGGGCUUGGAUAGCUGAUAGUGCCAACUUGAAGCCUGUAUGAGGGCCAAACACCAGAGAGCAGAAUGGACCAGGAGGAAAGGCCAGGCAUUAGACCAAUUCCAGGUCUGUUAUUUGUCAGAUAAAUUGCUUUACAUCGAUUGUUUGAUUUCUUUGAGCCCUAGUUUCUUUAUUUACAAGAUGGAAACAGUAAUAGUUAACUUGCAAGGGUAUUGAGAAAAUCAGAAACUUGCAUUAUAUAGUGGUGACUCAAUAAAUGGCACUAUUAUUUAUUUAUUUAUUUGUUUGUUUAUUUAUUUAUUUAUUUAUUUGCUAUAGUACCUAAUGCAUCCUUUUAUAGCAGAGAUUAUUAAUCUGGGGUCCAAAGACAUAUGAGACCUAAACUCACCCACCUCCACUGAAAUUAUAUACAAAGUCUCACACAUAUGUGCAUUUUUCUGAAGACAAGGGUUCAUGAAUUUCAUAAUAUUCUUAAAGGAGUCUAUGAUCAAAGUAAAUGUUAAAGUCACCACUUUCUGAUUUGGCUUCACCUAUGUGUGGAUCCUACAGCACACAAAGAAGAAACAAACAGUUUGUGAUUCUUUCCUUGUUUAAAGUAUUCUGUAUCCAGUUGGCUUCUAAAAUAAAGUUCUGUGUGUGUAUGAAUAUGUGGGUGUUCACAUGGACAUUCAUGCUUGUGGGUUUAGGAAAUGCUAGUUUUAUAAUGAGCCACAAGUUUACUGGGAAGACAGAACAAUUGUAAGACCAAAAAAGUUGAUGACAGAUGUACACAUGGAGAGAGGCCUGGGAUACUGUGGGAAGAACACCAAGGGAGGAAGCAAAAGGAAUGUGGAGGAGAACAGAGCUCGGGCAAAGCUGAGAGCCCACUGGGUUCCAUUUUUCCAGAGACUUAGCAGACACAGGAUCCCAAUGGACUUGUGGGAGGGUUCUUAAUAGGAAUGUAUGAUUGGAUGCUACAUAUAGAGAGGGUAUAUGGAGAAUCAGCAGGAAAGAAUGUGUUAUCAUUAAAGGUGAUACCACAACAAGUUCUGGAAGAAAGAAAGAAAUGCCCCAGGUAGGGGCAAAUUAAAUAAAUUAGAUAAAAUAAGGGAUAAUCCAACGGGCAAAAGACUCAGAGAUUUAGAAGCAGAAGAGAAAUUCAUAAACUUGUUCCAUCCAAGUUCACCUGGCUUUCCUUGACUGAGAUGCCAGUGGUUUAACUUUCUCUAGGGCCAUGCUGUGCUUGGUGCAUAGUGGUGAGGCAUGGUAAACAUGUCUUAUAAUGUUGGGUAAGGAAUGAAGUUGAGUACUUGAGUUAAAAAAAAAAUGUAUGUUUCUAUUCCUACACACAUGCACAUAUAUGCACACAUACUUGUGUGUAUGUGUAUGACUCAAGUUCUUGAUCAAAAUUCUUGAGCUUCACUUAUGCAGAAUAUAGCUCUGUAUGUGCAUAGGUACAUAUAUAAAUAUAGCCACAAACAUGUCUUAGUAUUUACUAUUUUCUAGGCUCUGUGAAAAGAGUUUUAAAGCUCAUUCCCAUUUAAUCUUUAAAGCAAUUGUAUGCGAUAGGGAUUAUUACUGAUUUCCAUUUUAUAGAUGAAGAAACUGAGACAUACUAUGGGAAGUGAUUUCCCCAAGAUCACACACUUAGUAAAUUCUUAAACUAGGACUUUAGCUGAAACAGUUUGAUGCUGGGCACUGUAGUAUAAACUGCCACACUUUGUGUAUAUUCCUAGGGAAAAUUGAGUCUGUUUACAAAAUGCGAGGAUGAUAAUUUAAGCUGCAGCAAAAGAGCAGGGAACUCAGGUUUGAAGUUUGAGGCUAAUUCUGAGUCUCAUGGAACCAUUUCAAAAUACACACCAAUGUGGAUGUAUGAUAUCUUGACCUUGUACUGUGCUCUGCCAUGGUUUUAUUACUUCUCUGUACACCAGACAAUAGAACUCCAAACAGAAAAGAACGGUCAGCUUAAGAAAGGAGCAUAAAACUAUUGAGAGCCCUUUUAUUUUUUCUACACUAGCCCCGUAGGUCUGAGAAAGUCAAGGACUUGAUAUUUACCACUCAGUCUCUCUACACAAAUGGAGAUGCACACUCAGAAGGCACAAGAACAGAAGAAAAUUAAAUUCAGCACCUCCUAGUGGUCAUAGUAAUGUGGAAGGACAUGCUGGAGCUGAUCUCUAAUGGUGACUGGUUAGUUCUCAUGAGAAGUAACCAGCAAGGAGGAAGGGUCCCUUCUGUUAUGAGUUUGGAGAACGUCUUGACUUUUACAGAUUUCUUGUGAAAGGAAGUCAGUAUAUUGCAUGUCUCUGAAGAUUAGAAAUUUGGUGAAUUUUCUCAAAGGUCACAGCGGCUUCUGAAUGCCCAAUAAUUCAUUAAGUACUACACACUGUUCUGCCUCAGUUGCUUACAUUAUCUUUCUUCUCUAGAACGCCUGCAACUUCCUCAUCCCUGUGUAUUGUCCCCCCACCCUUUUCUUUUUACUUACUAAUGAGAACUGCAUUGGAACCAUGUUAUGGAACCAUGUUAAGAUAGAGACUGAAUGGCACACACCUAUGAUUAGGCAGCCAGGUUUAUGCUGUCUGAAUACAGCUGCUGAGGUAGUUGGGGCUUCCUUGGAGAAACAGGGACAUUUUAACACACUGAUUUGGAUGAAUGCUAACAGCCUUCCUUCCUUAGGCAUGCAAGGUGCUGUUCACUUUUUUAAAGUUUAUUUUACUUUUUAUUUUGAGAGAGAGAUAGAGAACAAGCAGGGGAGGGGCAAAGAGAGAGGGAGACAGAAUCCCAAGCUGUCAGACAGAAUCUGUGCUGUCAGCACAGAGCCCGAUGCGAGGCUCAAUCUCACAAACCAUGAGAUCAUGACCUGAGCCAAAAUCAAGAGUCAGAUGCUUAACCAACUGAGCCACCCAGGUGCUCUGCACUGUUCACUUCUCUGCUGAGAUUUUAGAUAUGGUCUGAGGAUAUCUUAGAAUUCAGAGAAUAUUGGGGCGCCUGGGUGGCGCAGUCGGUUAAGCGUCCGACUUCAGCCAGGUCACGAUCUCGCGGUCCGUGAGUUCGAGCCCCGCGUCAGGCUCUGGGCUGAUGGCUCGGAGCCUGGAGCCUGCUUCCGAUUCUGUGUCUCCCUCUCUCUCUGCCCCUCCCCCGUUCAUGCUCUGUCUCUCUCUGUCCCAAAAAUAAAUAAACGUUGAAAAAAAAAAUUAAAAAAAAAAAAAAAAAGAAUUCAGAGAAUAUCUGUGACAGAUUGGAUGCUAGUAGAUAU